rnacentral:tRNA from 1 species
UAAGGUGUAGCUCAGUGGUAGAGCCCAGAGUUUAGCAUGCAGGAGGACCUGGGUUUGAUUCCCUGCACCAAAA